CUAAAUCCAAAUUAGUCGCCUGCUCCUCCCUUAACCGCCCAUGGAUUCGACCACAAUUUGAAAGGUUACCCAGUUCGGUAAUCUCUGAAUCUAUGUUGAUUUUCAACAGCGAAUGUGAGAAUUUAAAAUGGUGACUAGCUAACAAUGAAAGAAUGGUGUGUGGUUUGAUAUUUUGAAAUGAUGAUAAAUAUCUUAUUCAGAAAAUGACGUGUAACUAAAGUACUAGAUUGCUUUAUUCGAUAAUUGGAGGAAAAAACUGCGGCCUACAACAGCUAAUAUAAAUGGUAGCAUUAUUGUUAAGGUACAUUUCACAUCAAUCUUUCGUUGUCCUUGAGGCUUGAUCCUAGACCGCAUAUUUUUAUACAUCUUAUCUUCUAAUGCUCAAAUCUUGUUCUUGUUAAUUAAUCUCUUCAUUUCCCUUUGGAAUAGUAAAAUUUUGCCUGUCCUUUUCAAGUUAUGUAUUGUUAAAAUCAUCUUUCAGGCAUCUUGAGUCAUAAAAUUAUUGCUGCAGAAUGUUUGCUUAGCAUUUGUUUUUGAAACUUACUUACCACAAAAACAAUAAAAUAUUCAGUGUAAUUUCACAAAUGAAAUCUUAAAUGGGUGGUGUGUAUGCAUAUUUUAUCUCUAUCUUGUGAAAAUAGAGAGAUUGUAUUUGAAAGGCCGGGACUCAAGCAAAACAAUUCAAAGCAAAUUUAAAAAGGAAAUAUAGGGAUGAAUAUGAUAUGUUGGAAUAGAACAAAGGGCAAUGACAACAACAAAAUAAUAUGAUAAUCGAAGGAAACAACAUGUGAUAAUAAAUUGUAGAGAUAGUAGAAUAAUAGUUAUAAUUCAAAAUUGGUAAGGAAAAUAAACCAAUACGUGAUGCCUAAUAACCGUUCUACCCUAAUUCUCCAUCAUCAUACCCUUCUAAGAGGUCAUGUCCUCGGUAAGUUGCAGGAGUGUCAUGUCUUGUCUUACCAGCCUCAAUAUGUAUUUGCUCUGCCUCUCCUCAGGCCCCCAAUAUCCAACCUUUGAUCACACCUACACACCGGACCACAGGGACAUCGUCUAUUCACAGGCUCAAACCACCUCAUGCUCUCUGAGUAUGCCGGCACAGAUCAUUCAUCUGAACAUCCUCGUUUUCACUACUUGCAUUUUCUGGUAUGUGAGUUCUUGACCGGCCAACCUCUAGUAUUCUAGCCCAUACAAUGCAGUGGUCUAACAACCACUUUAUGAAACCACCUUUGAGUUUGACGACACAUUCAUAUCACACAAAACAGUUGAUGUGUUUAUUUCAUCCACUUUGUUCCAAUGUAAUGUGUAACAUUAUCGUCAAUCUCUGCAUUUUCCUUAACUAUUAACUCAAGAUACUUGAAAUUUCGUUUAUUAGGGAUGACUUGUAUAUCAAUCCUGAUUUCCAUAUCUGUUCUCAUAUGUAGUUGAACUUGCACUUCAAGUAUUUUGUUUACUCCUGCUCAACCCAAAUCCCUGGAGCCUCUCCAUACCUCCAAAUUAUCGUUAAUUAUGUCGCCUGUCUCGUCAAUCAAAAUUAUGACGCAUGCAAAUAGCAUAAAUUAUAGCACUUUGUUGCUUACAUAAAUUUGAAACAUGUAGCACCCAAUGCUACGAUCUCAUCGUCAAUGAAAUAGAUUAAAUUUUAGGUUCAAAUCUUCCCAUGUAUUAAAGUGAGGGAGACUAGAGUUACCUGAUAUUUAUGUUAGUUCGAGAUAUCACGUACACUCCAGAAAAUCAUAACGAAGACAAGAAGGUACGCGACUUCUUCCCAUAUAUAUAUUAGAGUCAGGGAGAUCAGAGUUACUUAAUAUAUUAGUUUGAAAUAUCAUUUACACUCUAAAAUAAGUUGAAGUGCGUACAAAUCGAUGCUAGGCUUAAAAAUAUUAGUAAGAAAAUAAAUGAACAUAAGUUGAUGAUCAUUUCAUUGAUUUAACAUUCUUCUAGUAUUAUGUGUUUCAGAUAAUGUUUGUUGGGAAAUACCACACUAGUAUUAAAGAGAACAAAAAAGAAAGGGAUAAGGAAGCCGAAGAGCAAGGAAGGGAAGCACGUGGAUGGACGGACAAGAAGGUUUCGUUUAGGAGUUGUACUGAAUUCCGGAGGGAUACUGACAGAGAGAAAAAUCAUACGGAAAAUCUUGGGAGUUAAAUGUUGGGUUUUGUGUUGGUGGGUGGGUCCGGUCCAAUAUAAUGAAGGGGGGCUUUGCUUUUUAAAGGGUUGACAAGGACCAAACCAAACAAAAGAAGAGUUGGGCCUGUACUUCUUUUAGGAAACACUUCAGUAAGGUAAAUGCCUUCGUACUUUCUUAUUCAGAUUAUAAACUAUAUAGGGACCCAGUUUGGUGGAGCUAAAGGGGUAUGGGGGAUAGCAGAAGGAGAUAAGGGGUGCCCGGUGAGUGGAGGUAACUCCUCUCAUCUUCUUUGUGUAUUGUAAUUCAUGUACCCAAUGUAAG
rnacentral:lncRNA from 1 species